UCUGAUCUCAAAUCAGGUAGGACUACCCGCUGAACUUAAGCAUAUC
rnacentral:rRNA from 8 species